rnacentral:lncRNA from 1 species
AACCAGGAUUAAUACUUUGCAUCCUUCAAUCCAGUCAAGUUGACACUCAGUAUUAACCAUCAUAGCAGCCUUAGGUAACUAAUUCAGCUUUCUGUUUUCUCGGUGAGAUGUGAAGGAAGAUCACCAGCCGAAGGUGGGGCUACAGUAAGGGGUAGGAAAGGGGAAGAAGAUAUGAUCCAGUUGUCUCCUAUGAAAAGACCAAUUCUGCCAGCAAAACGUAGGAUUACCAGACAAUGAACUAGCACUUUACAAAGUGUAAAGGCAUUUUGGAGACACAGGCUGGGAAGAGUCUGGACAAGGCAAGGAGAGACUUGAGCCCAGGAGUGGAUCAAGAGGAAGAUGUGGAUGGUGCUUCUGCAAGGCACGGCCUAUGUUAUUCACUAGAAGGUGAGCUCAAUUCUAGAAGAUGUUUCUUCAGUGUGCCCAGCUCCUGGAAAAGUGGACUCAAGAGAGGUUCUGGUGACAAAAAACCUCCACAAGAAACUACAGUUUCAAUCCACAGUGGGUUGCGCCUGCAAAGAAAUUUUUACAACACCAACCAUUCCUAAGGACCAUCUAUUCCUUCCUUAAUUAAAAGUAUAUAGUUAAAAAUACUUAGAGAAACAGCUUAGAAUAGUCUUUAGAGUCAGACAGACUGAAAAUGUCUGUAUUCAUGUGAACCUGGAAGUGUCAUUGGCCCUCUCUGAGCCUUGGAUGCAUCUGUAGGAUGAGGAAUGUAGUACCUACCUCGCUGGGUUAUUUUGAGAAAG